CCAGGGAUAACCUGGAGGAAGGUGGGGAUGACGUCAAAUCAUCAUGCCCCUUAUGCUUAGGGCUACACACGUGCUACAAUGGGUGGUACAGAGGGCAGCCAAGUCGUGAGGCGGAGCUAAUCCCUUAAAGCCAUUCUCAGUUCGGAUUGUAGGCUGAAACUCGCCUACAUGAAGCUGGAGUUACUAGUAAUCGCAGAUCAGAAUGCUGCGGUGAAUGCGUUCCCGGGUCUU
rnacentral:rRNA from 1 species